AAUCAAUUCCGGAACCGAUUCUGAAAUUGGUUCCGGAGCCGAUUCCAGAGUUGAAUCCGGAGCCGAUUUCGGAGUUGAUUCCGGAGCCUAUUCCU
rnacentral:pre_miRNA from 1 species